rnacentral:tRNA from 1 species
GGGGAUAUAGCUCAGUUGGUAGAGUGCUUGCUUGCCUUGCAUGCACGAGGCCCUGGGUUCAAACCCCAGCACCACCA